rnacentral:rRNA from 1 species
AUGAACGCUGGCGGCGUGCCUAAUACAUGCAAGUCGAACGAGGUGCUUUUGUAGCAAUACGAAAGUAUCCUAGUGGCGAACGGGUGAGUAACGCGUGGGUAAUCUACCCCUUGGAUUUGGGAUAACUUCGCGAAAGCGGAGCUAAUACCCGGAUAGUCUGGCUUUAAUUAAGAAGUCGUAAAGGAUGCCUCUGCAUAUGCAUUCGUCCGAGGAUGAGCCCGCGUCUCAUUAGCUAGUUGGUAGGGUAAUGGCCUACCAAGGCAACGAUGAGUAGCUGGUCUGAGAGGAUGAUCAGCCACACUGGAACUGAAACACGGUCCAGACUCCUACGGGAGGCAGCAGUGGGGAAUAUUGCGCAAUGGGCGAAAGCCUGACGCAGCAACGCCGUGUGAGGGAUGAAGGCUUUCGGGUCGUAAACCUCUGUCGGAAGGGAAGAACGGGCAUUGGUCUAAUAGGCCUUUGUUUUGACGGUACCUUUAGAGGAAGCACCGGCUAACUCCGUGCCAGCAGCCGCGGUAA